rnacentral:lncRNA from 1 species
GUUCUAUAAAGGAAACUUCCCUAGAAAGAAACCACUUCUAAAUGGAAUAAUUAAAAUAAUUUGUUAGAAACUUUAAGUUACCCUAUGAGCUCCUAGUAACACUGUUUUCAAGCUCAUAGGUUAAUUGUUAAGCCCUUUUGCUCCGAGUUGAACUGAUCAAAUGGCUCUGUGUAAAAGGUAACAGUGUAGAAUCCUCUUUGAGAAAUAGCAUGUAAACUUGGGAGAAAUGGCCUAAGCCCACGGUUCUCAAGUCACUGAGACAGUUGAAAAAGCCCCCUCAGGUGGUGAGAAUGGGAUAAUAUUUUAUUAUAUCUCUAAGAUGCCUCAAAUCCAAAGAGAUAAUUAAAUUUGGAAUUUUAUUAGUUUCACCUAAUAGUUGUAUAAAAGCUGAAUAUUUAAGGAUCUCCUUUAUCAGGCACUGAGAUGCUUUGUAUACAUUACUUCAUUUAGUUUUCACAAUAGUCCUAAGAGGUGGAGGUAUUUUUGACCCUGUUUUAUAGUUGAAGAACAGGCUCAGUAAGGUUAUAUUACCUGCUCCAAAUUUCACAGCUAGUUAAUUUAGUUUAUGUUGGAAGUUAGCAUUUAAGACCUUUUAAUUCAGGGUGUGCAUUUUCCUCUUGCGUGUCACAAGUGCUAUUCAGGCUUUCUCUAGUUGAAUCCCCUGUUUGUGAGUGCAUACCUGCAGUAUUUUAUAUGCUAAGUGAAAUAUUUUUAAAUUUACGUUAGCACCUAGAUUAGCGUUGAACCUGUUUUAAGAAUGGCAGAGUCUUGCUCUGUUGCCCAGGCUGGAGUGCAGCAUCAUGAUCUCGACUCACUGCAACCUCAAGCAGUCUUCCCACCUCAGCCUGCUGAGUAGCUGAGACUACAGGCAGACAGAAUUCUUAUACAGAAAUUGUAGAAAUACAGAAUUUCUAUACAGAAAAUGUAGUACUUCAUCAUUUUCCUUAGAAUGCUCACAUUUUUGUGGUUUUAUUACCUGUGCUAUUCAUAGUGACAUCACUAGGGGACUUUUGAGGAUUAACCACUUCUUCACCUAGAUUUUUAUCGGCACAUUCUAUGAUAUAUCACUUAGCAAAUCCAGAGAGGUUAAACAGUUUAAGCCAUGAUAGGGACAGAACUGGAAAAAUGCUAAUUCUUGCUCUUUUACUUGUGCACGUUGCCACUGGGCCUACUGCAGAAAUGCUACUAGUAAAGGGAGUAUAUCAUCAGUUCAGUCUGGGAGCAGAAACUGCAUAGUAGUUUAAACAAGGAAAGUUUAAUAUUAAGACUUAUUAGGGCCAGGUGAGGUAGUUCAUACCUGUAAUCCCAGCACUGCUUUGGGAGGCCAAGGCAGGAAGAUUACUUGAGGCCAGGAGCGCAGGACCUGCCUGGGCAACAUAGCAAGACACUGUCUCUAUAAAAACAAACAAACAAACAAAAAAAUUACCUAGGUGUGGUGAUGCAUGCCUGUAGCCCUAGCUGCCUGGGAGGCUGAGGUGGGAGUGUCUCUUAAGC